rnacentral:rRNA from 1 species
AAUGAACGCUGGCGGUAGGCCUAACACAUGCAAGUCGAACGGCAGCACAGAGGAGCUUGCUCCUUGGGUGGCGAGUGGCGGACGGGUGAGGAAUACAUCGGAAUCUACUCUGUCGUGGGGGAUAACGUAGGGAAACUUACGCUAAUACCGCAUACGACCUACGGGUGAAAGCAGGGGACCUUCGGGCCUUGCGCGAUUGAAUGAGCCGAUGUCGGAUUAGCUAGUUGGCGGGGUAAAGGCCCACCAAGGCGACGAUCCGUAGCUGGUCUGAGCGGAUGAUCAGCCACACUGGAACUGAGACACGGUCCAGACUCCUACGGGAGGCAGCAGUUGGGAAUAUUGGACAAUGGGCGCAAGCCUGAUCCAGCCAUACCGCGUGGGUGAAGAAGGCCUUCGGGUUGUAAAGCCCUUUUGUUGGGAAAGAAAUCCAGCUGGCUAAUACCCGGUUGGGAUGACGGUACCCAAAGAAUAAGCACCGGCUAACUUCGUGCCAGCCGCCGCGGUAA